UACGUAGGGACCGAGCGUUGUCCGGAUUCAUUGGGCGUAAAGAGCUCGUAGGCGGCCACUCAAGUCGAAUGUGAAACCUCGAGGCUCAACCUCGAGCCUGCAUUCGAUACUGGGCGGCUAGAGUCUGGUAGGGGAGUCUGGAAUUCCUGGUGUAGCGGUGGAAUGCGCAGAUAUCAGGAGGAACACCGGUGGCGAAGGCGGGAUCCUGGGCCAGUACUGACGCUGAGGAGCGAAAGCGUGGGGAGCAAACAGG
rnacentral:rRNA from 1 species